rnacentral:tRNA from 1 species
CAGAUUAGAGCUUGGUUUAAGCAUUUUAUUUACAUUAAAAAGUCUAUUGUUAAUUCAAUAUAAUUUGA